UACGUAGGUGGCAAGCGUUGUCCGGAAUUACUGGGCGUAAAGGGCGCGUAGGCGGUACCCUAAGUCAGAUGUGAAAACCCGGAGCUUAACUUCGGAACUGCAUUUGAAACUGGGGAACUCGAGUGUCGGAGAGGAAAGCGGAAUUCCAAGUGUAGCGGUGAAAUGCGUAGAUAUUUGGAGGAACACCAGUGGCGAAGGCGGCUUUCUGGACGAUAACUGACGCUGAGGCGCGAAAGCGUGGGGAGCAAACAGG
rnacentral:rRNA from 1 species